GCAGAAUUGUUUAGAAAGAAGUGUGUUAGCAAAAAUAUAGUAGAAAAUAAUAGAAUCACCCCAGUAAGGAGCCGAUACCCAUGUGGGUGAUUGUAAGAUGAACUGAGGUCCAGACUCCAGUCCAGUUGGUUGUGUUCCCAGUGGUCUUGAAAGCACCAUCAGUUCCGAUUUCCGACACCUGUCAGAUGGUACUGUGACGUCCGAAGCUUCGAACGUCAUCCUCACGUGGUAUUGUUACGUUGACGCAAGCAUUGAAACGUUGUCGAAUCGGUAGUGCUUUGAAAACUGCAUCGGAGCUUCUGUAUUAAUCAUCCCGUCACUACCUUCUGAGAUCUCCAGACCCUCCUCACACCCCUCCUCCUUCACCAGCAGCACCUCUAGACCCUCCUGGAAGAGACAGGUGAUACAAAUUACACACAUACACUACCCUAAGGUACGUACACGGAUAAUACACAGACAUUGCAAAAAUCAGAAACUUUCUGUCCAAAAAUGAUGCAGAAAAAUUAAUCCAUGCUUUUGUUACUUCUAGGUUAGACUACUGCAGUGCUCUACUUUCCGGCUACCCGGAUAAAGCACUAAAUAAACUUCAGUUAGUGCUAAAUACGGCUGCUAGAAUCCUGACAAUAACUAAAAAAUGUGAUCAUAUUACUCCAGUGCUAGCCUCCCUACACUGGCUUGCUGUCAAGGCAAGGGCUGAUUUCAAGGUUUUACUGCUAACCUACAAAGCCUUACAUGGGCUUGCUCCUACCUAUCUCUCUGAUUUGGUCCUGCCGUACAUACCUACACGUAUGCUACAGUCACAAGACGCAGGCCUCCUAAUUGUCCCUAGAAUUUCUAAGCAAACAGCUGGAGGUAGGGCUUUCUCCUAUAGAGCUCAAUUUUUAUGGAAUGGUCUGCCUACCCAUGUGUGAGACGCAAACUUGGUCUCAACCUUUAAGUCUUUACUGAAGACUCAUCUCUUCAGUGGGUCAUAUGAUUGAGUGUAGUCUGGCACAGGGGUGUGAAGGUGAACGGAAAGGCUCUGGAGCAACGAACCGCCCUUGCUGUCUCUGCCUGGCCAGUUCCCCUCUUUCCACUGGGAUUCUCUGCCUCUAACGGUAUUACAGGGGCUGAGUCACUGGCUUACUGGUGCUCUUUCAUGACGUCCCUAGGAGAGGUGCGUCACUUGAGUGGGUUGAGUCACUGAUGUGAUCUUCCUGUCUAGGUUGCCCCGUGGUAAAGAUCUUUGUGGGCUAUACUCGGCCUUGUCUCAGGAUGGUGAGUUGGUUGUUGAAGAUAUCCCUCUAGUGGUGUGGGGGCUGUGCUUUGGCAAAGUGGGUGGGGUUAUAUCCUUCCUGUUUGGCCCUAUCUGGGGGUGUCAUCGGAUGGGGCCACAGUGUCUCCUGACCCCUCCUGUCUCAGCCUCCAGUAUUUAUGCUGCAGUAGUUUGUGUCGGGGCUAGGGUCAGUUUGUUAUAUCUGGGGUACUUCUCCUGUCUUAUUCGGUGUCCUGUGUGAAUUUAAGUAUGCUCUCUAAUUCUCUCUUUCUCUCGGAGGACCUGAGCCCUAGAACCAUGCCUCAGGACUACCUGACAUGAUGACUCCUUGCUGUCCCCAAUCCACCUGGCUGUGCUGCUGCUCCAGUUUCAACUGUUCUGCCUGUGAUUAUUAUUAUUUGACCAUGCUGGUUAUUUAUUUAUGAACAUUUGAACAUCUUGGCCAUGUUCUGUUAUAAUCUCCACCCGGCACAGCCAGAAGAGGACUGGCCACCCCUCAUAGCCUGGUUCCUCUCUAGGUUUCUUCCUAGGUUCUGGCCUUUCUAGGGAGUUUUUCCUAGCCACCGUGCUUCUACACCUGCAUUGCUUGCUGUUUGGGGUUUUAGGCUGGGUUUCUGUACAGCACUUUGAGAUAUCAGCUGAUGUAUGAAGGGCUAUAUAAAUAAAUUUGAUUUGAUAAAACACACUUUCA